ACACUGAUGGUGAAGUGGUUAUCAUGCUUGCCUUCCAUUUGUCGCAAUUUCUCUCUUCCAGAAGCAAGCGGCAGGGGUUCAAUUCCCCUUCAGUGUA